AGCUCUUCCUCUCUCCUCUGAGAUCGUCCUGCUUCGCAUUGUCUCCGAGCUUUGCAGCUUUCGGCACAGCCAGCCUUAGAGUCAAGUUCCAUAGAAUGGAGUGAAGAAGUGUACACAAUGCUGCUGAGAUUCUCAGAGAGCUGGGCUCUCCCUGACUUUUACAGCUUGGAAAUUACGAAAAGCCCUUCUAAAUCUUGCAUUUCAUGGAGUUAGAAAUGCCUGCUGUUGGUCAUACAGAAGAUCUUCAAAGUGAGCUCUUUAGAGAGAAAUGUCAGAAGCAAAAAUAAAUUGUUGCAGGAUCAUUUUCUCCAGUAGCUUUUUUAACUGCAAAGAUACUUGGAAGUAAGCCCAUACAGCUUUUGGAUGUCGUGAGUUCCAGAAUGUCCUCCUCCAUUCCUGUGCCUUGUCACUGCCCUGCAUUGAUGUGUAUAGCCAUCAAGUCUGCGGCUCGCACUAAAUCAAACUUUCAGCUGUCAGUUGACAUUCUCCAAUUCAAGAUGAGAACCAAGCUCAGUGGAAAUUCACCAUUCUGAUGCCAGAAUAUGAUUAUCCUCCUCUGGAAGUUUUGCUUCUUGGGAAUUUCAUGGCCAAAGCAAAUCCAGAUCCCAGUGCACAGCCUGUCCAUCAAGACAGCUUUCAACAGCUCCCACAUCUGGAUGCUUCCUCAUUCACAACUGCAGAAGGAAGAAGAUAACUUUGAGCAGUUUCAGAACAGUCCUGAAAUUCAUUUUGAUUGGACAAGAAAAAGUCACAGAAAAAGCUACUUUUCCAGGCAGGCCAUAAGGCCUUGCUUGUUUCAGAGAGAUCAAAGAUCAUGAUGAUUACUUUCUUCUCCUUUCCGGAAGAUAAGAUGCUUUACUCUUUAAAGAAAAUGAAACGGAGUUUCUAGAAUGCAGGCAGCUUGGAUCCUCCAGGAAGGAGAUUGGGAGCUCCCUCUUUAGGAAAGCAAUGGUUAAACGGGAGCAGAAUCCAGUCUUCAUACUGUGAAUCACAAUAAUCAUCCACACCUCCCAGGAGCAAUGCACUCUCACUCAUCAAAUCCACGCCCCGUGUAAAGGGGCUCCAGGAGGCUGCAGGAGGGCCAGCACCUCCAAACAGGCUGGGUGAGGGGCUGCCAGGUGAUGAAUGGAUGCGUGUAGAACGAGGUAAUAAACCAGCACCCCAGCCAUGUAAUCUUCCAUUAAAAUGAAAUGCAUACCAGGCAUGUGGCUUUUCUGCAGCUCGUACCCUCUCCCAUAGAAGAUCAUGAAUAAAAGAGGAAAGUGUACCGCUGACAGACGCCAGCAUGCAUAAAGGACACUUCCUAUAAAGGCAAAGCUCCGGCUAACAGAUGGACUAAAGAUGUGAGCUGCAGAAAGAUUUACCAAUCUAAAUAAUUCAAGGGAAUGUCGUAUGGCACACUAGCGCUUUUGGAGGGAGCCAGCAGAAGGUGCAGAUGGAAAGGCAGGCCGAGCCUUUCCCAUAAACCCAUUACGAACAGUGCUUGUCUGAGCGACGGUAUGUCGCAGAAGGCCCAGGGAGAGGCCAGCAAAUGAGAAAUUUGCUUCUAGACUUUGUCCCACAAGGUCAAGAGCAUAUUUAAUAGUGAAGGUUGAAGCAUUCAUGAGACUGAAAAGGGGUGUUGUGUGUUCCAUUGCGCAUCCUCCUGCUUUCUUCGAAACUCUCCUCUCCUCAGAUUUUUGUCUUGUGAGCACUAAAAGCAUGGAAGGUGUUGUCAAAGAUCUUUGAGAGGUCUAUCAGGAAUCUUUUUAUUUCUCAGUCAGGCACAAGUUCUAAGCUCCAAAGCCAAAUUACAGGUGGGAACCUUGCUUUCAGUAACUAUUCCUUAGAAACAUAUAACUGUAUCUUCUGCCCUGGGGCUCUGUGGAUACUUGUUGUCCGUGCCUGCUCAUGUAAUCUUAAAUCCUAUACUUUGCAUAUUUGUGUACUUAACCUGGCUUGCAUAACCUAUUAUUUAUAUGCAACUUGACAAAAAGUCUCUUCCUCACCCACUGGGCCAUUGUCUAAACAGAUACUCAAUAAACACUUCUUGAUGAUGAAACUCUUUCAACAAAAAGGAGUCUUCCCUUAAGCGCCUCCACACCUGGCAGGACUGUGCCAAAAAGGUCAGCAGCCACAGCAAGAGAAGCUGUGAUAGGUGACAUCACACAGUGUGUUGCAGUACUGCUGACCCCGUCAGAGGAGAGCUAGUCCAUCCCAGCUUGCCUCUCAGGAGCUGGGACACCCACCCAAGGGUAAGCCUUUAC